UAACAGGAAGAAGCUUGCUUCUUUGCUGACGAGUGGCGGACGGGUGAGUAAUGUCUGGGAAACUGCCUGAUGGAGGGGGAUAACUACUGGAAACGGUAGCUAAUACCGCAUAACGUCGCAAGACCAAAGAGGGGGACCUUCGGGCCUCUUGCCAUCGGAUGUGCCCAGAUGGGAUUAGCUAGUAGGUGGGGUAACGGCUCACCUAGGCGACGAUCCCUAGCUGGUCUGAGAGGAUGACCAGCCACACUGGAACUGAGACACGGUCCAGACUCC
rnacentral:rRNA from 1 species